UACGAAGGGGGCUAGCGUUGCUCGGAAUCACUGGGCGUAAAGCGCACGUAGGCGGCUUGUUAAGUCAGGGGUGAAAUCCUGGAGCUCAACUCCAGAACUGCCUUUGAUACUGGCGAGCUUGAGUUCGGGAGAGGUGAGUGGAACUGCGAGUGUAGAGGUGAAAUUCGUAGAUAUUCGCAAGAACACCGGUGGCGAAGGCGGCCCACUGGUCCGGUACUGACGCUGAGGUGCGAAAGCGUGGGGAGCAAACAGG
rnacentral:rRNA from 1 species